UUCACCUCUUCUUGCAAGUUCUUCAUUAUGCACGAGACCUCGAAGACCAUAGCACAAUCUCCAUCCUUUUUCACUCAUUGAUCGAUAGGUUCCUCCAAAAAGUAUGGAGAAACAACUUCCAUUGUAUAAACCAAGAUUGUUUGCAGAAUCACAAAGUGUCAUGCUUCAAGUUUGUUCACCUCUUCUUGCAAGUUCUUCAUUAUGCACGAGACCUCGAAGACCAUAGCACAAUCUCCAUCCUUUUUCACUCAUUGAUCAAUAGGUUCCUCCAAAAAGUAUGGAGAAACAAGACUUUCAUUGUAUAAACCAAGAUUGUUUGCAGCAUCACAACGUGUCAUGCUUCAAGUUUGUUCACCUCUUCUUGCAAGUUCUUCAUUAUGCACGAGAGCUCGAAGACCAUAGCACAGUCUUCAUCCUUUUUCACUCAUUGAUCGAUAG
rnacentral:lncRNA from 1 species